rnacentral:rRNA from 1 species
ACGAACGCUGGCGGCGUGCCUAAUACAUGCAAGUCGAACGAAACUUUCUUACACCGAAUGCUUGCAUUCACCGUAAGAAGUUGAGUGGCGGACGGGUGAGUAACACGUGGGUAACCUGCCUAAAAGAAGGGGAUAACACUUGGAAACAGGUGCUAAUACCGUAUAUCUCUAAGGAUCGCAUGAUCCUUAGAUGAAAGAUGGUUCUGCUAUCGCUUUUAGAUGGACCCGCGGCGUAUUAACUAGUUGGUGGGGUAACGGCCUACCAAGGUGAUGAUACGUAGCCGAACUGAGAGGUUGAUCGGCCACAUUGGGACUGAGACACGGCCCAAACUCCUACGGGAGGCAGCAGUAGGGAAUCUUCCACAAUGGACGCAAGUCUGAUGGAGCAACGCCGCGUGAGUGAAGAAGGUCUUCGGAUCGUAAAACUCUGUUGUUAGAGAAGAACACGAGUGAGAGUAACUGUUCAUUCGAUGACGGUAUCUAACCAGCAAGUCACGGCUAACUACGUGCCAGCAGCCGCGGUAAUACGUAGGUGGCAAGCGUUGUCCGGAUUUAUUGGGCGUAAAGGGAACGCAGGCGGUCUUUUAAGUCUGAUGUGAAAGCCUUCGGCUUAACCGGAGUAGUGCAUUGGAAACUGGAAGACUUGAGUGCAGAAGAGGAGAGUGGAACUCCAUGUGUAGCGGUGAAAUGCGUAGAUAUAUGGAAGAACACCAGUGGCGAAAGCGGCUCUCUGGUCUGUAACUGACGCUGAGGUUCGAAAGCGUGGGUAGCAAACAGGAUUAGAUACCCUGGUAGUCCACGCCGUAAACGAUGAAUGCUAGGUGUUGGAGGGUUUCCGCCCUUCAGUGCCGCAGCUAACGCAAUAAGCAUUCCGCCUGGGGAGUACGACCGCAAGGUUGAAACUCAAAGGAAUUGACGGGGGCCCGCACAAGCGGUGGAGCAUGUGGUUUAAUUCGAAGCAACGCGAAGAACCUUACCAAGUCUUGACAUCCUUCUGACCGUUCCUUAGCCGGAACUUCCCUUCGGGGCAGAAGAGACAGGUGGUGCAUGGUUGUCGUCAGCUCGUGUCGUGAGAUGUUGGGUUAAGUCCCGCAACGAGCGCAACCCUUGUUGUCAGUUGCCAGCAUUAAGUUGGGCACUCUGGCGAGACUGCCGGUGACAAACCGGAGGAAGGUGGGGACGACGUCAAGUCAUCAUGCCCCUUAUGACCUGGGCUACACACGUGCUACAAUGGACGGUACAACGAGUCGCGAGACCGCGAGGUUUAGCUAAUCUCUUAAAGCCGUUCUCAGUUCGGAUUGUAGGCUGCAACUCGCCUACAUGAAGUCGGAAUCGCUAGUAAUCGCGAAUCAGCAUGUCGCGGUGAAUACGUUCCCGGGCCUUGUACACACCGCCCGUCACACCAUGAGAGUUUGUAACACCCAAAGCCGGUGGGGUAACCGCAAGGAGCCAGCCGUCUAAGGUGGGACAGAUGAUUGGGGUG